rnacentral:lncRNA from 1 species
GAGAGCUUUCUCCUUCUCUCGAACAAUAUUCUCAAUAGGUUCUCCACUAAACUUUGUUACUGCUGCUAUGCCUCCAUCAACCUGCCUCAAUGUGAUUGCUUCCUCAUUCGGAGCUGGUAAACUGUUCAAACAAAUUCUUUUUAUAUGACCAUUAUUAACAUUAUAUACAGUAUUUGAUAGAAAACUGAAUGAAUGAUUUUAUGGAGUUCUCUAAUUAACUCCUAAGAGACCCCCAAUUUUGACACUAGCUGUCUCCCUUGCUAAGUAAGUUUCAGCUUCAAAGGUUGUGUAACCUGAUGCAAUUUGGUGAACUUCACCUGCUCAAAUCUUUUUCUGAUGGCAGAACUAUCUGGAUAGACACUUUGGAUGUUUCAGCAUCAACUGCCUGAGUAAACACAGGAGUAGUCAUGGGUAUCUUUUCCUCUGCUGCGUUCUUCCCAAAAAUAUACCUGUGAGAAAAAGAUCAAGGAGCUGACGGUAGGAACGAAAGCAAUUACCAAUCAAAUGAUAAACAAUGAAUUCAAACACCAAACCUCACCCGGCAACGGCAUUAAAA